rnacentral:tRNA from 1 species
GAUAUCUUAGGAAAUCUUAUUCCCCUGCCCUCCGAAGGCAGAGGUCAGAGGUUCGAAUCCUCUUGGGUGCGCCA